CCAAUAGGGAGAUUAUGCUCAAAAUCCCAACAAGAAGUUCUUGUUGUACAACUGUGAUUUUCAAAUCCUCCUGAAUGAAGAGAAUAGCUCCACUCAUAACACCCACAUCUGCAUUGUGAUCAAUACACAUUGUACAUAAACACAGGUGAAGAUUGAUCUGAAUUUUCCUCUUAUACAGUUCCAAAAUCAAAACCCAAA